UAAAAAAAAAUUAGGAUUCUGCCUUGUUUUUUAAGUAGCCAUCCUGGUACCAGAGCUGGUACCAUUCCUCUUUGAUUUGUUUUUUAGAGUGCUGUUGAGAUAAUUUUGCAUUAUUUUGGAAGAUUUUAAUGGUUUUUUCGAAUGCCCAAUUUUUGUUGGUCUACAUCAUAAUAUAUGGUUUUAGGCCUUCAUCGGUUGUUGACUUUUGGGUAAACAGCUACAUUUGUAGCUGUAUUUUUGUAUUUUUUUUAAGACGCCAAAUGUCCUAGUCCAGAAAUAACUAACAUUUAUACUCUACUUGUAUAUUGUUGUAAUUAAGGCAAAAAGAUGGCACAAGUCACCAAAAAUGCGAAAGCCGUUCAUUUUGAAGCAUUCCACACACGAAAAACAAUAGCAAAUAAUUAUGUAAUGUAUUUUUUAAUAUUGAAAAUUAUUAUAUAGUCACGGUGUCAUUUAGAAACAACAGAAAAGAAGGAAUAAUCUUGAUGUAGACUUGUUUAUUUGAGCGCACUAAAUUUAAAUCAAAUUACUCCAAACAUUAUUAUUUAUUAAAAUAUUUCCAUCACUUGGUUUUUACAUAAAUUUAAAAUAAAAUAAUCAAUCACAACAAUCUAUCCUGCAGCAAAUCCCAUGCCUUCUUGACCUGCAUCCCUGUAAAUUCCACGUCCCAUAAAGGACACAACACAACAUGUGCCUCUUGAACGUAUGCUUUAUUACUCGGUUGACUGUUAAUUCGUGCAAUGGCCUGUUCUUCUGUCAACUUAUUUCUUGCCAUGAGCCGUUUAAUAGCCUCACUACGGGGCACUAACGUACUCCAAACCUCGUGACAAAAACUUUGCCAACCGGCCGUUAAAAGCACAGCAGCUUCAACAACCACAACCGGAUUUUUGCUAUUUGUGAUCAUUUUUUGAACCUCAUCUGCGAUUGCUGGCCACACUAAUCCGUUCAAUUUUUUCAAAGCACUCUGAAAAAAAAUUGUCAAAAAUUGCGGUUUUUUUUUCGAUUCUAGGGGGAUUUACCGAAUCGGAGAAAACGAUCGAUCCGAGAACCUUUCGGUCGACUUCGCCUUCUGGCGUUAAGACCGAAUCACCGAAACAAUCGACGAUUUUUGUAUGACACGGCCUACCAGAUUUGUAGACUUCGUGUCCGAUUAAAUCACAGUUGAUUAUUUCAGCUUCGUGUUGUAUCAACCAGUUGGCAACACCAGAUUUGCCACUGGCAACACCGCCGGUUAAACCAAUAACGUAGGGUUUGUUAGGGAUAUUUUUUUUUGCUACUGGUCGUAAAAGUGUCCCCAAAAGUCGUAUACGGCCCGUACUCGAACUUAUCUUUCUUUCUUCGUUCAAGUUCGGAUACGGCUCGUCGAUUAAUUUGACGGAGUGAACGUCAAGUGGAUUCAAUUGUUUUUCUAAACGUACUACAUAAAAAUCAAAGUUUUGCGAAAUUAUUCAAAUAAGUAAUAUAUUACUUUCAUUGAUUUUUUGACUGCCUUUUACAGUUUCUUCGCUCACUACGAUCAUUUCCAUCGUUGGAUCUGUGAUUGAAGGACCAAACGGAUCCGAAAUUGGCACGACGUUAUAAUCCAAUUCGGCGCAAAUGUCAUUUAAAAAAUUCUCGACAUUUUGGAUUCGCACAUCAAGAUUUUCAAUGAGUUCCCAUAAAAUCUUACCUAAAAAAAGUAACAGGGAUUUUUUUUUAAUAAAUGGAGCGCUACCAACCUGGCAACAUGGAUUCUUCAGUGACACCCACAGUUACUUUACGUCUGCUCCUCAAUGCUGCUUCAGUUAAAAGCAAUUUGUGGGCCGUGUGGAGUCUAUCAAAAGUGCCCCCUAGAACAGUGUGAUUGUAAAUGCUCUCAUCAUCGUCACAAAUGAAAUCUUCGAUCCUAUCGCCUGCUGAAUCCAAUGUCACAACAUUAUAUUCAGAGGCAAUGUUAGCAACCUUUGUUUUAAUGAAAUUAUCAAUAUCGGUUUUACUGUGAAUUCUAUCGAAAAUUAUUAAAUCUAUGUUGGAUUUGGUUUGGAUUUGGCUCACAGUUUGGUAUUUCAAACCAGACAAAAGGACACGAACAUCGAGGUUUUCGCAAUGCGUUGCAGCCUAAAAACGCAAUUUUUAACUCACCUUAGUUUUUGAGGCAGUUAUUACCUGUGAAUAAAUCCCAUAAAGUGUCUUACUAUACUUUGGCCACGAAGUAAACACGUUUGUGUAAAAAUUACCAAACGGUUCACUCAGAGCCGAUAAUAAUUGUAUGUAGAGUGUGUUUUUUACACGUUUUUGAAUCGAAGGCAAAAUUUUACCGAUUUGUGUAGGAUUUGAAACAACUAAAAGGCCAGUUUUUGCCAACAUUUUCACUAUGCAAAACCUUGACCAAAGUAUAUAUUUACAUAACGCGAAUGAGCAGAAACAAAAAAUUUGCGUCAGUUUUAUACUUAUCUCUUAUAAAUUUUGAGGUUAGGUAAUUUGUCACAUGAAGGCAGUCUAAUGGGAGAAUUGUAAUUUGUUUUUUUUGCUAAUCUUAAAGUCCACACAGAUUUCCCAAGUGUUGUUGGUUUAAGUGUUUUUUUUUUUGUUUUUAAUUCGUUUUAAGAGAAUUUUAGGUGCCAAAUCAAAAUUUUUAGGAACGUACUCCUCAAUAAACACUAUGUAAUAGCACAGAUUAGAGGAUGUCUUAAUCUGUGGUAAUUGUGUUGUCUGAUUACUUUUUGUCGUUUUACUUUAUUUUUAUGCUGAGUUUUUGUGAAAAUUUCUGUACAAAUCUAUUAUUUAUUAUUAUAAUGGUUUAAAAAAAAUUUUGGCAAAUGUCUAGUUUUGGAACAUAUCCAUGUUGGCGCGGCUGUCAUUUUAAUUUAUCUAAUAAGGUUAUGUUGUGAUCAUUUCAAGUAAAAUAAAAAUGAUGAGAAAUGGCGAAAUUUUAAAAAAAUUUAAUUGUGAAAGUGCAAUUUUACAUAAAUACACUUGUAACCUGUGUAAAUUUAAAACAUCACUUCUCGUCCUUCUCAACAAGCAUGUUCGUGAAACUCACAGCAACAAAUCAAAGAAAAGGUCGCCCCAGUGUCCUUACGUGCUAAAAAAUUACGUAUGUAAGAGUUGUGCAUUUCAAACAUACUCAUCACUACAUAGUCUCCGUCAUACAAAAUGUGGGCCGUGUAUUAAACUUUCUACUGAAUCCGAAAAGCUAUUUAAGCGCCCCCCAAAACCUCGCCAAAUCAGAUGGCUUAAGUGUAAUCAAUGUCUGUUUCAAACAAAAUUAAAUAUUAUUUUACAACGUCACAUUAAAACCAAACACUGUACUAGUGUUAAGCAACCCAACAAACUGAAGAAAAAACCCUUGCAACAACGGGUAGAGGUGGUCCAAUGGCACAAAUGCAAAAAGUGUCCAUUUGUAACAGUGGACAAAACGUCGUUAAAUGAACACAUGGCUUUGAAACAUGAAGACGAGGAGCGUUGGUUUGGCUGCGAACACUGUCCGUUUAAAACAACGAUGGAAAAUUCGUUGAAAAGACAUGUCAAGACUAAACAUGCCCCGUGUCAAAAUAUUGAAAAAUGCACCACCUACAGGACGACGCAAAAAUCCGAUUUGGCGCAACAUAGGAAAAGUGAACCUGAUACGCAAAAGGAGUGUCGACAUCAGUGCUCCCAUUGUGACUUUAAAACCGGAGUGGAGAACGAGUUGCAGCAACACAUCGCCAGCAAACACACAACCAACAACGGAAAUGUGCAACUUUUACCUUAUUAUUAUCUACUUAUUCAAUAAACAAAACUCAAAUUUA